AUUGAACGCUGGCGGCAGGCUUAACACAUGCAAGUCGAACGAGCGGCGGACGGGUGAGUAAUGUCUGGGAAACUGCCUUAUGGAGGGGGAUAACUACUGGAAACGGUAGCUAAUACCGCAUACCAUCGGAUGUGCCCAGAUGGUAUUAGCUAGUAGGUGGGGUAAUGGCUCACCUAGGCGACGAUCCCUAGCUGGUCUGAGAGGAUGACCAGCCACACUGGAACUGAGACACGGUCCAGACUCCGACGGGAGGCAGCAGUGGGGAAUAUUGCGCAAUGGGCGCAAGCCUGAUGCAGCCAUGCCGCGUGUGUGAAGAAGGCCUUCGGGUUGUAAAGCACUUUCAGCGAGGAGGCGUUACUCGCAGAAGAAGCACCGGCUAACUCCGUGCCAGCAGCCGCGGUAAUAC
rnacentral:rRNA from 1 species